ensembl:lncRNA
AUGCAUGAGGUUUUGAUAUCUUUCACCUGUAAAAAAAACACACUAAUUUCACCAGCAGCGAGUACAAAUUCACUCAUCAGUACACUGUGCUUAUCUUUGCAGGUCGGUGUUAGGCCUCAAGGAGCCUGCCAAGUGCUUGUCUGUGCUGACCUCGACCUGCCUGUGAGGGAUCUGGUUUGUGUUUAUGAAAAUACAGGGGAAAAAAAAGAUGCUGUGAAAGUGAAGAACAUAUUGUUAAGAAUGAGAAUUUCCUGGCAGGCAGUCCUUCGAGGUCAUUUUAAUUUUCCAGACAUCUUCAUCAGCUGUUAUAAACCGAUAGCAGUUAUUACUUGGAAAUGGAAAUUAUUGAAAACGUAUAGAGAAAUUCCAAGUUUGUACAGUGAGUCUAUGCAGAAUCCUACAAAUCCUGUGAAACUAAGGUGGCUACCUCAGUAUUACAUUUAA